CUGUACCCAGAGGGGCUAUUCAAACAUAAUAUACCAAGGUGACAUUGAGGGGAUAAAACAGAUGUCUCUUUAUAAAAGGUUGUACAAAUUUACUUGGGUCAUCCUGUGAUUUCCUGUAUCCUCCGGGGUGGGUUGCCUCCCUGGUCCAGUUCCCUGGCCAUUUACCUGGUGGUGGGUUUAUAUCGUCAGAUUUAUGUGACAAAUUCCAUGUACACAUUCUA